rnacentral:rRNA from 1 species
AUUGAACGCUGGCGGCCGGCCUAACACAUGCAAGUCGAGCGAGCGGCGGAGGGGUGAGUAAUGUAUGGGGACUGCCCGAUAGAGGGGGCUAACUACUGGAAACGGUGGCUAAUACCGCAUACUAUCGGAUAACCCAUAUGGGAUGAGAUAGUAGGUGGGGUAAAGGCGCACCUAGGCGACUACAUCUAGCUGGUCUGAGAGGAUGAUCAGCCAAAAUGGGACGGAUACACGGCCAAUACUCCUACGGAGGCAGCAGUGGGGAAUAGUGCACAAUGGGCGCAAGCAUGAUGCAGCCAUGCCGCGGGUAUGAAGAAGGCCUUAGGGUUGUAAAGUACUUUCAGCGGGGAGGCGUUACCCGCAGAAGAAGCACCGGCUAACUCCGUGCCAGCCGCUGCGGUAAUAC